AGCGAACGCUGGCGGCAGGCCUAACACAUGCAAGUCGAACGAACCUUUCGGGGUUAGUGGCGGACGGGUGAGUAACACGUGGGAACGUGCCUUUAGGUUCGGCAUAACUCAGGGACACUUGUGCUAAUACCGAAUGUGCCCUUCGGGGGAAAGAUUUAUCGCCUUUAGAGCGGCCCGCGUCUGAUUAGCUAGUUGGUUGAGGUAAUGGCUCACCAAGGCGACGAUCAGUAGCUGGUCUGAGAGGAUGAUCAGCCACAUUGGGGCUGAGACACAGCCCAAACUCCUACGGGAGGCAGCAGUGGGGAAUCUUGCGCAAUGGGCGAAAGCCUGACGCAGCCAUGCCGCGUGAAUGAUGAAGGUCUUAGGAUUGUAAAAUUCUUUCACCGGGGACGAUAAUGACGGUACCCGGAGAAGAAGCCCCGGCUAACUUCGUG
rnacentral:rRNA from 1 species